CUUGCCUGCAGCUCUGGAAGUGGUAAUGGGCCCACCUGUCUCCCUGCCCAUCAUCUCACAUCUGGGGGAAUGUCUUGGCUAGCAGCAUGGCCCUGAGUGAGGGGUUUAGGUAAACAAGGUGUGACUGGGAUUGGAAGAGUCACAAACCUGUUUGUUAGAGCAAUGCUGAAGAGUUUCAGGAAAAGAAUUUCAUCAAGGCUGGCACAUCUGUCCUCAGACACUUGAAGGAUUCCCUGGAGGAAGGAGGACUGAACUUGCCCUACAAGAUCCUCGGGGCAAAGAACUGUAAGCAGAGACAAAAUGAAAGCCCUCUAGGCCCACAAUUGAUUCUAACGGCUGUGAGGGAAUGAGCUUCAACUACUGUUGAUGGGAGGGACUGUGUGCCAGGCACUGUGCUAGGGACUCUCAUGCAUGAUCUCAUUCAUCUUCUGCAUAACCCAAUGAGGUAGGUGCAAUUACAUCUAUUUUCCAAAGACACAACUGGAGAGGCCAGCAACUUGCCCAUCAUCACACAGCCAGGAAGGAGCCUGGGCCUGGGGAACAAUGCAUCCAUAGCCUCUGUGCCCCUUUCAUGCCCUGCCACAAGCAGAAUGGGAAAUGCUUCCAACCAAACUUCUGUUUCAAAGAGUCCCUGUGAACGGGCAUAGUCAUGAUGAAAACUGCCAUUCGCACUCAAAUUACUGCUGCUUUUGUGACUGCUUCUUAUGACCUUGCCAUGACUUGACUUGAUUAUGCUUUUGCAAAUCUCUCUUUACAUAUCUGCAGCUGAGCCUUCUUAAAUCAUUAUACUUCUGAAUUAAGAUGGUGAAUUGA
rnacentral:lncRNA from 10 species